CCUACGGGAGGCAGCAGUAGGGAAUAUUGCGCAAUGGACGAAAGUCUGACGCAGCCACGCCGCGUGAGUGAGGAAGGCCUUCGGGUUGUAAAGCUCUGUCAGCUGGGAAAAACAGGCAAGAGGGGAAAGUUCUCUUGCUUUGAUGGUACCAGCGAAGGAAGCACCGGCAAACUCUGUGCCAGCAGCCGCGGUAAUACAGAGGGUGCAAGCGUUGUUCGGAAUUACUGGGCGUAAAGCGUGCGUAGUCGGUAUUGAGAGUCGCGGGUGAAAUCCCAGGGCUUAACCCUGGAACUGCCUGCGAGACCUCAGUACUAGAGUGUGAGAGGGGAUAGUGGAAUACCCAGUGUAGCGGUGAAAUGCGUAGAGAUUGGGUGGAACACCGGUGGCGAAGGCGGCGUAUCUGGCUCACAACUGACGAUCAGGCACGAAAGCAUGGGGAGCAAACAGGAUUAGAUACCCUGGUAGUCCAUGCCGUAAACUAUGCAUACAAGCUGUAGUGGGGUUUUUCUCCUGCUGUGCGAAGCUAACGCAAUUAGUAUGCCGCCUGGGGAGUACGGUCGCGAAGACUAAAACUCAAAGGAAUUGACGG
rnacentral:rRNA from 1 species